AAAAAAGCCAACUUGUUCUUUUUCUCCUUUACUACUACUAAUAUAACCAGAUUGAAACUUUAAGUAAAAGAUACACAAUCGGUAUACGAGGCUCCAGCUCCUUCUGAGAAGUUCGGGAUCCAUAAAUCAUUUUUCUUUCCUCUUAGCUGAAUUGCUGUGGAUUUAACAACUAUACUGACUUCAAUGGCUCCAAAUACCAGGAUCAAAAUGGUGGCUUUUAUCCUGUCUUUUGCUGCAAAGGAAAUUUUCUUUGCCGGGAGCCUGACAUUGCUGAUGACAAGAAGGGAUGCUUGUAUAAACUGAAGAGAUCCCUGCAAAAGAACAAAAAGUUGAUUGGAGGUGUUGGUUUGGGAAUUUUAAUCUUUGAGGUAUUUGUUUUCUUCUUACAAAAUUUUGUCUGUGUUUGCCAAAGAAAAUUUUGGAGACAUGUUUAGUUGGAGACCUUAGGAAUGGGACCAUUGAUUUUCUGCCUUGUACUUAUGAAAUUUCCAGUGGCACUGAAAGGAUAGGAGCUGGAACUUCAGAUUAGUACUGACAGCUUCUCUAGGAUGGAGAAAUAAACCAAAUAAAGUGGGAU
rnacentral:lncRNA from 1 species